rnacentral:rRNA from 1 species
UAAAUACUCUCCUGUGACCGAUAGUGGACCAGUACCGUGAGGGAAAGGUGAAAAGCACCCCGGGAGGGGAGUGAAAUAGUACCUGAAACCUUGUGCUUACAAGCAGACAUAGCCCGUUAAAGGGUGGUGUCGUACUUUUUGUAGAACGGUCCGGCGAGUUAUAGUAACUGGCGAGCUUAAGGUAUUCAGUACCGGAGGCGAAGGGAAACCGAGUGUGAAUAGCGCGUGAAGUCAGUUGCCAUAGACCCGAAACCAGGUGACCUAGCCAUGUCCAGGAUGAAGUGGAGGUAAAGCUCCAUGGAGGUCCGAACCCACGUACGUUGCAAUGUCCGGGGAUGAGGUGUGGCUAGCGGUGAAAUUCCAAACGAACUUGGAGAUAGCUGGUUCUCCCCGAAAUAGCUUUAGGGCUAGCGUAGGUAAUGAGUUUCACGGAGGUAAAGCACUGUCUGAGCUAGGGGGCGAUAAGCUUACUGAACUCUAACAAACUAAGAAUGCCGUAGAAAUGCUUACCUGCAGUCAGACUGCGAGUAAUAAAAUCCGUGGUCAAAAGGGAAACAGCCCAGACCCACAGCUAAGGUCCCAAAUAUACGCUAAGUGGAAAACGAUGUGAGAUUGCAUAAACAACCAGGAUGUUGGCUUAGAGGCAGCCACUCGUUCAAAGAGUGCGUAAUAGCUCACUGGUCGAGUGAUCUUGCGCGGAAAAUUUAACGGGGCUAAGCGUAUAACCGAAGCUUGGGAAUGUCGAAAGACAUUGGUAGGGGAGCGUCGUGUAUGGGGUGAAGUCGCAUCGGAAGGAGCGGUGGACUGUACACGAGUGAGAAUGCCGGAAUGAGUAGCGAGAAUUAUGUGGGAAUCAUAAUGGCCGAAAAUCUAAGGUUUCUUGGGGAAGGUUCGUCCGCCCAAGGUAAGCCGGGAGCUAAGGCGAGGCCGCAAGGCGUAGUCGAUGCACAUACGGUAAAGAUUCCGUAGCCGCCGAACUUUAAGUCAGAGGGACACUUGCAGAUAGCGGAACCCAGCCGUUGGUUGAGCUGGGCGAAAGGGACUGAAUUUAGUAGGGAAGUCCGCGAUGCUGAAAGGCGAGAAAAGCUCUGAUGAAUACUAAGGCGCCCGUACCGCAAACCGACACAGGUAGAUGAGGAGAGAAUCCUAAGGCCAACGGGAGAAGGGUUGUUAAGGAACUCGGCAAAUUGACCCCGUAACUUCGGGAGAAGGGGUGCUCCAGAGAUGGAGCCGCAGAGAAUCGGCCCAAGCAACUGUUUACCAAAAACACAGGUUUGUGCUAAAUCGAAAGAUGACGUAUACGAGCUGACGCCUGCCCGGUGCUGGAAGGUUAAGAGGAGAUGUGCAAGCAUUGAAUCGAAGCCCCAGUGAACGGCGGCCGUAACUAUAACGGUCCUAAGGUAGCGAAAUUCCUUGUCAGGUAAG